UGAUUGUUUUUGGUUUUCUUUAAUGUUCAGAUUUUUGCAAAGCUGUUUGAAUGGAAGUGCUGAUCCUCCAUGGGAACCUGCUUUCCUUCUUGCAGCAUUGGAUUUCUUGGAAACCAAAUUCUGACAUAGGGUUAUACUGUUUGUAGCACUACAGUAUUGUAGAUAAUUUGGAUUGCUUCCGGCACCAUGAUGGAGUCCCCUUUGCUGAGAAAAGAUGUUUUCAACAAUGUCGCUGUUCACAAAUCCUGGUGAAGAAGAGGAGAGCACUGGAAAGCUGUUGUAGACGUUCAUCUUGAAGGUCUGCGAUGGGACGUCUGUCGUGGAAGACAUUUAUCAAAAGACUAGUCUGUUCCAAUAAUUUGAUGGGCCCAUCACAGCGGGAUGCAGCAAGAGUACUGUCCCCCAAACUUUCCUUGAACUGUCGCAUGAGAUGCAGCAUGUCUGAGUUGAGGCAUUCCUCGGCGAGAUGAUUCCUCAUUUUUUCUGCUUGGUUUGGAUGCAGAUGUUGAGAGGGUGCCACCUGCUGAAGAUACUGCAGUAUUUCAGUUGGAGAGUUGGGAACGUGGUUGGUGGAUGUGGAUGGUGGAGGAGGCGGAGGAGGGGAAGGAGAUGAACUUUCUGUUGACUGUACCAGACGUUCAGAUUUUGUAGCAGUAGAUUUAACGCUACGUAGACUUUUGCAGUGGUGACAUGUCACAGUUUCCCUUUUGGAAUUCAAUGGCAACACUUUCAUGCACUGUGAAGAGUAUGCAGUACUUUUAUGAUAUCUGAAAUGACCCAUCAACAUUGAUCAACACUUCCAUCAGAAUUUUAUGACCAUUGCAAGAUAAGGAAGUAUCUUUCGCAAAAACAACGGAAGAGGAUGAGUUCCUUAUCAGAAAAAAAUCAUCUGGAAUACACUUGUAGAUGUCUUGCAAAUUUGCAGGAGUAUCAACAUCACAUCUUGGAGCUAAUCCUGUAUACACAAAAAUUUUUUGAGUCCAGUUUCCCUUUUUACGGACUUUUUCUCUUUUUACACCCUUGAAAGUGUUUGAAACAAGUCGCCCAAUAUAUCUAUUUACAUCUGUUUUUAGGUCAAAAUAUUGACUGAAAUUCACUGCGACAUCUUCUACUGGUACAUAUGAAUCUUUGUUUUCAAUGUAGUGCUGAUGCAACCUGCAUGUAUA